GGAAUAUUGGUCAAUGGGCGCAAGCCUGAACCAGCCAUCCCGCGUGCAGGAAGACGGCGCUAUGCGUUGUAAACUGCUUUUCCAGGGGAAGAAAACCCGCUACGUGUAGCGGCUUGCCGGUACCCUGGGAAUAAGCAUCGGCUAACUCCGUGCCAGCAGCCGCGGUAAUACGGAGGAUGCAAGCGUUAUCCGGAUUUAUUGGGUUUAAAGGGUGCGUAGGCGGAUUAAUAAGUCAGUGGUGAAAACCUUCAGCUUAACUGGAGAACUGCCAUUGAUACUGUUAGUCUUGAGUACGGUCAAGGUAGGCGGAAUGUGUAAUGUAGCGGUGAAAUGCUUAGAUAUUACACAGAACACCGAUUGCGAAGGCAGCUUACUGGGCCAUUACUGACGCUGAUGCACGAAAGCGUGGGGAGCGAACAGGAUUAGA
rnacentral:rRNA from 1 species